AAACUUUCAACAACGGAUCUCUUGGUUCUGGCAUCGAUGAAGAACGCAGCGAAAUGCGAUAAGUAAUGUGAAUUGCAGAAUUCAGUGAAUCAUCGAAUCUUUGAACGCACAUUGCGCCCUGUGGUAUUCCGCAGGGCAUGCCUGGUUCGAGCGUCAUU
rnacentral:rRNA from 1 species